ACAAUAACAACUAAACCUUAAUUCUUUUUUGUCAUCUAACUCUGUUUGAGACCAAUUCCGCAUCAAUAUUAAAAAAUUGUAUAUCUUUUGAUACUACUUUCCUCCACGUCGUUUUAGGUCUCCCUCCUUUUCCUCACUCCUACCACUAAAUUGUAAAUAUUUUGAUACUAAAUUAUUAUCUUAUACGUUGGAAGAAUUGAUUAUAUAUUAUACAAAAGGGCAAAGAAUAAGAAAGGAAAUCAAUUAGCUAUUAAUCAAAGUUUCAUUUAUCCAAUGAGCGAUAAUACACAAACCACACAAUUAGAUGGACCUUGACAAUGAAAGGCUAGAGUACUG
rnacentral:misc_RNA from 1 species